ensembl:lncRNA
AGGUCGUUUUUGUUUGCUUUUUCAAUGGAGCUGACGAAUGUAGCUCAGGAUCUUGUAUGAAGUAGUUUUACGACAUUUACACUCUACCUGACCGGAAGCAGUUCUCGAGGCUGAGAAGUCCAGGAUCAAGGCUGUGGCAGAUUCAUUGUUGGGCAUCUAUGCUUUGACUACAUCAUCUAAUGUAUUCUUCACAGUAGCCUGGUGAAGGGUUAAGGAUAAGGUAAAGAUAUUAUGGUUCAAAAAAUGCUUGCUUAGGAUCUCAUAGUUAUUAAAACUGAGUACAGAUGGGGUUCAAGUCUGAAGCUGACUCUGAGAUUUCUGCAUAAACACUAUGUCCUAUUGUCCCUUACAAUGACCCUAAUCUAACCUACAUGCAGAAGUAAAUGGUUCUCCUGAAUGGUAUUGCCCAUUGGAGG